GUGAAUCAUCAAAUUUUUGAACGCAAAUUGCACUUUCUGGUAUUCCGGAGAGUAUGCCUGUCUGAGGGUCAGUUUAAAUAAAAUCGGUGUUGUUGCUGCCUUUCCUUGUGGCGGGUCGGGAUUGGGUUGUUUUUCCCUUGGUUAAGGGACUUAAAAUUUUGCCUGAUUUUUGACCGUAUUUAUAUAGCUUA
rnacentral:misc_RNA from 1 species